CGCUGCAAAAGUGCAGAGAAGAUCUUUCGCUAAAAUGCUCUCAAGCAAACAGAGACAGCUAACCUGGAAGUCUGAAUGCUCAGUGUCUUCUCCAAAAUUAUCCAGACUGCUUUUGUUUGCAGAAGUCAGACUGUGCAAGCUGUUGGUGUGUGGCUUGUCCCGGUAAGUUAAGAAGAACAAUCUACUUGAGAGGUUUCCAAUUAUUCUUACUUCUGGUCAGGUUAGAUACACAGUUAGAUUGGAUCCCUGACAGGUUUUUGGCUCUUCCAGUUUCAGACCAAGCCUUUAUUAG
rnacentral:lncRNA from 1 species